rnacentral:piRNA from 1 species
UGGACGCACACUGAGCUGCUCUAAUCUCGCC